UUCUUGGAUGGCUCAGGUUGAGAUUCAGCUUUGAUGAUAUUGAGUUGACCACCUUCUUUACAAGCUGCAUUAGUUGCUUUCACUUCAUUGCAAUGGUUUAUGAAUUUCGUAAGCUCCUGCUCCACACAACACCAACCAAUAACUCACAAUUAAAGAUCCAAUCGAUUCAGAAUUUAGGGAGAUUGAAGAAUAUAGAAAUUACCCGAUCAGUGUCCAUCUCUUUCGUCAUCUUUGUUGGUUUCACAUUUCUCUUCCCUGGAACAAGAAGAUGAUAAAAUCUGAGAAAUCAAAAUCGAAAGGGAUUUGUGUGAAGUAAAAAAAAAGUGAAUACCUUUGCGAGUUUGAAUGGAUUUGCCAUGGCGAUUAGGAGCAAUAGUCUUCCUCUUCUGUUGGCCCUUGAACUGAUUGCUCUUCUGCGUCAUCUUUGGAUCGUCGUUUCUAGCUAGGGUUUUCUCUUCU